rnacentral:lncRNA from 1 species
ACCCGAGUUCAACAAUUAGAAUUCUUUCUAAUUAAUGAUUGAAUUAAACUCUUUAAUUCAAUCAAAUCUAUAAGUCAAGAUUGACAUCUAGCAACAUAUCAUGACUAUUCAAAAGAUAUAAAAUUUGAUAGAAAUAUCAAAUAUACCCUUCAGUGGUAAGUUACCAUGUAAUUCAAUACUUCGAUCAUCCCUACAUCCUGAAUAUGUUC